GGUUCCUUUUUCUCUCGGAUCAUAUGAAUCCUCUUUAUACUUUUCUACAACCUCCUUGGUGGAACCGCCGCCGAUGUCGCCCGCGGAGGCUCACGCUGCCGCAGCUGUCUCUCGGCCUAGAAGCAGUGACGCUGCUGUCACAGUGUAGUCGGUGUAAUCGACGCCGGGUCAGCCUCCUCACUCCAUACACCUACGCCUGCCGUCCCUUCAUCGUUGACACAGCAGCUGUCUCGCGGCAGCUUCUGGGGCUUCGUCGUCCAUCGAUCUCGCUCAAGCUAAGUCCCCUACUCGUUCAUUGUUUGGUGUAGUACUUCCUUAUCUUUAAGUUAUGCUAUUUUUAGGAAUUUGGGGUGUGGAUUCAGUAGAAAAUAGUUCGACAAUUUGAGCUUGAUUGGAGUGAUUCUCCUAUACGCCUAAAUUCCAGUUGUGAUUUAACAUGCUAUCUAUAAGCUUUAGGCAGUGGCUUGUGAGGAUAAUGUCAUAUGGGGUUGCUACUGUCAUUGUUGAGAUUCUACCUAUGUGAUGGUUGUUUCUUGCUAUUGAUAUGAGGAGUCUAUUGAAAUCCUAAGUUCUCAGCUUUCUAUUGGUUUGUUCUACAUGAUGCAGGUGUGGUGUUAUGGGGAUUACCUCUUGUGACUGUGAUGGAAUGUGGCUGCCUAGUUGUUGCUCACAACUGCUCCGCUUUCUUCUCUAUGCGGCUGGUAUAUGCAGUGUGUGUGGUAAAGGGGACUUGAUGCAUAUGGAAGGGUUUUCUUAUAGGCCAAGUGUGUGCCUAUGAGGGAAUUAUAUGGGCUGAUUCCUUUGUUUCUUAUGCACAGUACAUCCUUUGUCCUUGAUCCCCUUGCAGCCUUUCGUUUAAGGCAUUUUGGUGCACAAUGACGGUGUAAGGCGGUUAACUGCAGCUUUGCAGGGUUGCUGCAGCUGCUGGGACAGAUGUUGCAGACUGACCUUGCCAUUUUUGGGCAAGGCUCAUUUUCUUUAUCGAAAGGAACUAUGAACUGAUCACAUCCGGCUGCCAACUUGCUGAUCCGGGCGCAACGGGCCGUCGUAAAUCGGGCUGAAAACUGGGCCUAAGGAAGGGGUUGAAGCUUAGCUUUUCUAAAUUGUAAUAGAGUAGCGCUUUUCCAAGCUUUCUUUCUUUCAAACAUGUACGAAACAUUUAUAAAAGUUAGAAUGUAUGCCUUUCGAGCACCCUUAGUUCGAAAUAAAACAAAUAUCGUCG